rnacentral:rRNA from 1 species
UCACGUCAUGGCACUUGUUCACAAGAUCCCGUCAUAGCUACGUGCCUGCAGGCGCGGUAAUACGUACGGCGCAUGCGUUAUCCGGAAUUAUUGGGCGUAAAGAGCUCGUACGCGGUUUGUCGCGUCUGCUGUGAAAACUGGAGGCUCAACCUCCAGCCUGCAGUGGGUACGGGCAGACUAAAGUGCGGUAGGGGAGAUUGGAAUUCCUGGUGUAGCGGUGUGGGAAUGCGCAGAUAUCAGGAGGAACACCGAUGGCGAAGGCAGAUCUCUGGGCCGUAACUGACGCUGACGAACGAAAGGGUGGGGAGCAAACAGGCUUAGAUACCCUGGUAGUCCACCCCGUAAACGUUGGGAACUAGUUGUGGGGGCCAUUCCACGGUCUCUGUGACGCAGCUAACGCAUUAAUUUCCCCGCCUGGGGAGUACGGCCGCAAGGCUAAAACUCACAGGAAUUGACGGGGACCCGCACAAUCGGCGGAGCAUGCGGAUUAAUUCGAUGCAACGCGAAAAACCUUACCUAGGCUUGACAUAUACCAGAACGGUGCAGAAAUGAAUAACUCUUUGGACACUCGUAAACACGUGGUGCAUGGUGUGUCGUCAGCUCCGUGUCGUGAGAUGAUUGGGUUAAGUCCCGCAACGAGCGCAACCCUCGUCUCUAUGAUGUCCAG